UGAAUAUCUGUGUGUGCAAACCUGAUUAUUUAUUUGGGAUAAACUCUAUCAUCCAUAUAAAGAAUGAGUCUGGGACAGAAAUUGGCUGGUUAUACACAAAACCUACUUCCUCAUUCUCCCGGGCACAGGCUAGACUACAUUUCCCAGCCUCUUUUGUAGUUAGGGAUGGCCACAUGACUCAUUUCUGGCCAAUGGAAUGAAGGCGGAAGUGAUGUUUCCAUCCCCACUGGGCCUGGCUGGAAUGCCUCCCGUGUGUGCUCCUCCAUGUUCUUUCUACUUCUUGUAAGAAUCUGUAGAAGCCACGUGUUGAAAAUGGAAGAGUCCCAAGUUGGAAGGAGGUUGGGUGCUUCUAUCACCAUUUGAGGAAGAAUUACCCACUAGCUGAUCAGGGAUCAGCCAUUUUGAACAUUACACAAGCAGGAAAUGAACUUCUAUUGUGGAACCAAGCCCCCAGUCUUUCUCCUGAUAGUCUUCCUCCUAGGAAUCAUCCCAAAAGCUGAGCCUCAGUGGAAGCUGCCCUACCCAGAUAUCCACCUGGGAAGACCCCAGAGAAAGCCACUGGCUGCCUACCCUGGGAUUUGUUUUGUAGCCUCUGCAUCUAGAAGACCAGCACCAAUUUCUACUCAAGGAACAAAAAGAAUCUAUACACAUCACAGAAUAAAUAACCCCACAGAUUACAAAUAACCCAUUCUCCAGGCUCACUGGCCUCAUUCUAUGCCCGGAAACCUCUGUGUCAUUUUGUCUCUAUGUCUCUUUCAUCAGAAAGCAAAAUGCACAAUGUAGCUCUGUUCUGGGAAGAGCUAUGGGUUACUGCAAAUGGAAGCGUCUGACUAUGACUGCCGGACUGCCUGGAGUUUGGGUCAGCAGGGGAUGUCAGCUUUUCAAUCCCUCUCUAAAAGCCCCUUCCCCCAACUAUGCAUUAGGGAGACUUCUCUGUAGCUGGAAGACAGACGCUUAGUGUUCCUUCCUGGAGGCUGCAAGCCCAUCCAUCCUUGUGCUGUGAUUGCCAUCUUGUGGCAGAGAGACAACAAGGCAAUGGGGGAGGACCCAACCAAUGAUGAGCCUCCCAAGAGCACCACGAGAUGAUGGUCAAAAUCAGAGUUCCUUUGUCUGCCCCCACCACCCACCACCAAAAAAAAAAAGCGUCCUGCUCUCUGUUUACCAUUCCCCAAAUCAUAUGCUUUGGGGAUUCUCUGCAACUGGUUUUUUUAUUUAGCUAUUAUAAAAAUGAUACAUGCC
rnacentral:lncRNA from 1 species